UACAGAGGUGGCAAGCGUUGUUCGGAAUUAUUGGGCGUAAAGAGCACGUAGGUGGAUUUGUAAGUCAGAUGUGAAAGCCUUCUGUUCAACGGAAGAAUUGCAUCUGAAACUGUAAACCUUGAGUGUAGGAGGGGAGAAUGGAACUUCUGGUGGAGCGGUGAAAUGCGUAGAUAUCAGAAGGAACGCCGGCGGCGAAAGCGAUUCUCUAGCCUAUAACUGACACUGAGUGUGCGAAAGCUAGGGGAGCAAACGGG
rnacentral:rRNA from 1 species